rnacentral:RNase_P_RNA from 1 species
GGAGUCGGCCGGGCGAUCGCGUCAUCCUUCGGGAUGCCGAGGAAAGUCCGGGCUCCACAGGGCAGGGUGCCAGGUAACGCCUGGGCGGCGCGAGCCGACGGAAAGUGCAACAGAGAACAGACCGCCGAUGGCCACCGAACGGGGCACAGGCAAGGGUGAAACGGUGCGGUAAGAGCGCACCGCCCGCGGGGCCAACGCCGCGGGGCACGGCAAACCCCACCCGGAGCAAGACCGAAUAGGGACCUCAUGACGUUGCCCGCGUCGGGUCCGGGUAGGUCGCUCGAGCGCGGCGGCGACGCCGCGCCUAGAGGAAUGAUCGUCCACGACAGAACCCGGCUUACAGGCCGGCUCCGCCA